rnacentral:sRNA from 1 species
UGGACAGGGGGGUUCCCGCUCUCACCGAACGGGGCCUGUCCAAACCCGGUCACGCGCAAAGCGUGGCUCAUGGUUGUCGCUCGGGAGUGAUCGCCG